AACGAACGCUGGCGGCAGGCUUAACACAUGCAAGUCGAACGCACCGCAAGGUGAGUGGCAGACGGGUGAGUAACGCGUGGGAAUCUACCCAGAACUUCGGAACAACUGAGGGAAACUUCAGCUAAUACCGGAUACGCCCUACGGGGAAAGAUUUAUCGGUUCUGGAUGAGCCCGCGUUGGAUUAGCUAGUUGGUGAGGUAAUGGCUCACCAAGGCGACGAUCCAUAGCUGGUCNGAGAGGAUGAUCAGCCACACUGGGACUGAGACACGGCCCAGACUCCUACGGGAGGCAGCAGUGGGGAAUAUUGGACAAUGGGCGAAAGCCUGAUCCAGCCAUGCCGCGU
rnacentral:rRNA from 1 species